AUUGAACGCUGGCGGCAGGCCUAACACAUGCAAGUCGAACGAGUGGCGGACGGGUGAGUAAUGUCUGGGCAACUGCCUGAUGGAGGGGGAUAACUACUGGAAACGGUAGAUACUACCGCAAACCAUACGAUGGGCCCAGAUGGGUUUAGCUAGUUGGUGGGGUAACGGCUCACCAUGGCGAAGAUCCCUAGCUGGUCUGAGAGGAUGACCAGCCAAACUGGAACUGAGACACGGUCCGGACUCCUACGGGAGGCAGCAGUGGGGAAUAUUGCGCAAUGGGCGCAAGCCUGAUGCAGCAAUGCCGCGUGGAUGAAGAAGGCCUUCGGGUUGUAAAGUACUUUCAGCGGAGAGGCGUUACCCGCAGAGAAAGCACCGGCUAACUCCGUGCCAGCAGCCGCGGUAAUUC
rnacentral:rRNA from 1 species